CUAGAUCUGGCACUGGCCAACAUCAUAAACCUGGACGAGAAGAACCAGGUUCUGACGGCAGAGGUCUGGUUAAGACUGAAAUGGACUGACGAGUUUCUGACCUGGAAUGUGAGUGAGUACGGUGGGAUAGAG